rnacentral:rRNA from 1 species
UACGUAGGGGGCUAGCGUUGUCCGGAAUCAUUGGGCGUAAAGCGCGUGUAGGCGGCCCGGUAAGUCCGCUGUGAAAGUCGGGGGCUCAACCCUCGGAUGCCGGUGGAUACUGUCGGGCUCGAGUACGGAAGAGGCGAGUGGAAUUCCUGGUGUAGCGGUGAAAUGCGCAGAUAUCAAGAGGAACACCUGAGGUGAAGACGGGUUGCUGGGCUGACACUGACGCUGAGGCGCGAAAGCGUGGGGAGCGAACAGG